GCGGCAACAGCUCAAAUUUGAAAGCUGGCCUUCGGGUCCGCAUUGUAAUUUGUAGAGGAUGCUUUGGGGCAGCCGCCUGUCUAAGUUCCUUGGAACAGGACGUCAUAGAGGGUGAGAAUCCCGUAUGUGACAGGACAUGGCACCCUAUGUAAAGCUCCUUCGACGAGUCGAGUUGUUUGGGAAUGCAGCUCUAAAUGGGAGGUAAAUUUCUUCUAAAGCUAAAUACCGGCGAGAGACCGAUAGCGCACAAGUAGAGUGAUCGAAAGAUGAAAAGCACUUUGGAAAGAGAGUUAAAAAGCACGUGAAAUUGUUGAAAGGGAAGCGCUUGCAAUCAGACUUGUUUUGACUGUUCGGCCGGUCUUCUGACCGGUUUACUCAGUCUGGACAGGCCAGCAUCAGUUUUGGCGGCCGGAUAAAGGCCUAGGGAAUGUGGCUCUCGCUUCGGCGGGAGUGUUAUAGCCCUGGGUGUAAUACGGCCAGCCGGGACUGAGGUCCGCGCUUCGGCUAGGAUGCUGGCGUAAUGGUUGUAAGCGACCCGUCUUGA
rnacentral:rRNA from 1 species